AUUAUAGAGAAGUACUCAAAAUCAAACGUUGAGAUUCAUACUUUUAAUCAGAGCCAGUAUCCUCGUCUGGUUGUUGAGGAUUUUACUCCAUUGCCAAGCAAAGGGCAGACUGGCAAGGAUGGAUGGUAUCCUCCUGGACAUGGUGAUGUGUUCCCAUCCUUGAAGAACAGUGGCAAGCUUGAUUCUUUCUUAUUACAGGGCAAGGAGUAUGUAUUUGUUGCCAACUCAGAUAACCUUGGUGCUAUUGUUGAUUUGAAAAUCCUAAAUCAUCUGAUCAGAAACAAGAAUGAGUACUGCAUGGAGGUAACACCCAAAACCCUGGCUGAUGUAAAGGG
rnacentral:misc_RNA from 1 species